UCAGAGGCGAUGAAGGACGUGCUAAUCUGCGAUAAGCGUCGGUAAGGUGAUAUGAACCGUUAUAACCGGCGAUUUCCGAAUGGGGAAACCCAGUGUGAUUCGUCACACUAUCAUUAACUGAAUCCAUAGGUUAAUGAGGCGAACCGGGGGAACUGAAACAUCUAAGUACCCCGAGGAAAAGAAAUCAACCGAGAUUCCCCCAGUAGCGGCGAGCGAACGGGGAGGAGCCCAGAGCCUGAAUCAGUGUGUGUGUUAGUGGAAGCGUCUGGAAAGGCGUGCGAUACAGGGUGACAGCCCCGUACACAAAAAUGCACAUACUGUGAGCUCGAUGAGUAGGGCGGGACACGUGGUAUCCUGUCUGAAUAUGGGGGGACCAUCCUCCAAGGCUAAAUACUCCUGACUGACCGAUAGUGAACCAGUACCGUGAGGGAAAGGCGAAAAGAACCCCGGCGAGGGGAGUGAAAAAGAACCUGAAACCGUGUACGUACAAGCAGUGGGAGCCUCUUAAUGGGGUGACUGCGUACCUUUUGUAUAAUGGGUCAGCGACUUAUAUUCUGUAGCAAGGUUAACCGAAUAGGGGAGCCGAAGGGAAACCGAGUCUUAACUGGGCGUUAAGUUGCAGGGUAUAGACCCGAAACCCGGUGA
rnacentral:rRNA from 1 species